GAGAAGGGAGGGGAGGUAAUCAGUCCCAGGCCAGUGUUUGGUAAAUGCACACAGUCAGUGUUGUGAGGAGGCAGCCCUGUCAAAGUCAACGGUAUGUCAAACCUUGACAGAAAGACACGAUGCAGUGCUGGAGUGACCAGACAAUGAAUAGAACAAACAUGGCAGACCCCAGAAAUUUGGGUGGAAUGAAUAUACAGCGAGCAUGAAGAAUAAAGGGCAUUGAUGGAGAUGAGGAGCAAAAUGGAAAACAAAGGAGAGACAAACAACAAUGAACAAUGUGGGAUAUGUCGCAUUCUUCCCAUGGGAGAAGACUUCUAACGGCAUCUUCUAUUAGGGAUGGAGAGGAAAGAAGAGAAGAAAAGAGGAACACCCCCAUUGUGCAAACAAAAUCAAAGUGGGAACCAUAACUUAGAACUGAACAGCACAGUGGUAUCCGAUUUGUUUAGUAUUUACUGUAUGUGAAAGUCAUUCUGAAUCCUGUAACCUUACAGUAAAUGAGUGUAGGCUCUAAUAUUAGUCUUCAUUUGAUUUGGGGGGGGGGUAUUAAAAUGUUAAUAGAUUCAAUAUGAAUUGGCAAAGCAGCUAAACAAUCAUCUUUUAUUGCGUUUGGUACAUCACUGUGUGUUAUUCUGAAGGGUUUAUUCUCUCUCAGCCCCCUGACUUGCCCUUCAAAACGCAUCUAAAUCAGACCACAUGUGAGAAGUUGUCAAGUGCAGCAACAUGAAAGUGAGAUUCAAGGUCAAAGACAGAUUUUUCACAUAUACCGUGAGUAGCCUCACUUUCACCCCAUACAAAUAACACAUCUAAUUAACUCGCUGCUCAGUCCACCCACAUAGGCAGCAUACAGUGUAUAUAAUGCGCACAUACUGUAUGUUUCUAGUAGAUGCUUUGACUGCUAUAUGCGAUGAUGACUCUGAUUCACAGAGGCCUUUCCUCCUCCUCCUCUCUGCUUCUCACAGACCUGUCACUUCUUGACUCUCACCACUCGGCACAGUGGGAUUGACUCACUUCUUACACCGGUGGGCCUGAGUAAAGACCCCCGGGAGAGAGAGAGCAUUCAUGACAUACAAUCGCAUAC